rnacentral:lncRNA from 1 species
CUGAGGACCUCCUCUGGUCUCCGUGCCACUCGCCAGACUGGCGUGGGUGACCGACAAUCAGCCCGUGGCAACACCCAUUGGCUGACACCUGGACGCGGCGCCUUUACUGGACGGAACCGCAGCCCCUGGCACCGACAUGCCGCCGCCUGGCAAGUGCUUGCCUCCCUACCCUCCUGGACGAGACCAGCAAAGCCCUUGGGUGGCCAGCACGGUAGCUCAGCAUCAGAGCUCACCUGCUGGCACCACUCCUCCCAGUGUCUUCAUUCAUUCAGCCCAGGGACCUCGAGGACAGUAUGCCAAUCAGGAAGGCAGAGCAGCGAUACGCACCCUGGAGGCCUGGGUAAGGCCUGUCCUCCCGCAGUGGGUGGAGGUGAGCCGGGAGAGUCCAGGCGACUCCAGGGGAGUUUGCAGUCCGAGGGCUGGCCGUGCCGGGGUGUCCGUGAAGGUGGGUACUGGCAGUGUGGGGGUGUCCUAUGGAGGUGGGGUUCUGCCUGUGUUGGGGUGUCCGUGAAGGCGGGGUACUGGCCGUGCUGGGGUGUUUGUGAAAGUGGGUACUGGCAAUGUGGGGGUGUCCUGAAGGCGGGGUACUGGCCGUGCUGGGGUGUCCUGAAGGUGGGGUACUGGCCGUGCUGGGGUGUUUGUGAAAGUGGGUACUGGCAAUGUGGGGGUGUCCUGAAGGCGGGGUACUGGCCGUGCUGGGGUGUCCGUGAAGGUGGGUACUGGCAGUGUAGAGGUGUCCUGAAGGUGGGUACUGGCCAUGCUGGGGUGUCCGUGAAGCUGAGUAUUGGGAGUGUUGGGGUGUCCGUGAAGGUGGGGUUCUGCCUAUGUUGGGGUGUCCUGAAGGUGGGGUUCUGCCUGUGUUAGGGUGUCCAUGAAGGUGGGUACUGGGAGUGUGGGGGUGUCCGUGAAGGCGGGUACUGGCAGUGUUGGGGUGUCCGUGAAAGUGGGGUACUGGGCAGUGUUGGGGGUGUCCUGAAGGUGGGGUACUGGCCGUGCUGGGGUGUCCUGAAGGUGGGGUACUGGCCGUGCUGGGGGUGUCCUGAAGGUGGGGUACUGGCCGUGCUGGGGGUGUCCUGAAGGUGGGGUUCUGUCUAUGUUGGGGUGUCCUGAAGGUGGGGUACUGGCCGUGCUGGGGUGUCCUGAAGGUGGGGUACUGGCCGUGCUGGGGUGUCCUGAAGGUGGGGUUCUGCCUAUGUUGGGGUGUCCUGAAGGUGGGGUACUGGCCGUGCUGGGUGUCCGUGA